UCCCUCUCUCAUCUCUUUUCCUUCUCUACCGUUUCAUUCAUCAGCAUCUCUUCCAGUUUUUCUUCACCUACGCCCUCCUCCUCUAAAAUUUCUCAUUCUGCGAUCAUUCUUCUCUCAGGCCGCCGCCCCUGACUGCCAUCACCGCUUCUCCGUUCCGUGAAUGAGCUCCUCUCAGUCUGCGCCCUCCUCCUUUGAAAUUUUCUCCCUCCUCUCUGGAAGAUCCAAGGCUACGAGUUUCUUUUUUUUUUUUUUUUUUUUUUUCUGAUAUCACUUCUCACCUGAAUUCAUCUUCACUCACACUCUGUUCUUCUCACCCUCUAUCUACAACGAGUUCUUCUCAGUAACUUAUCAUAAUCUCCUCCCUCCGUUUCGUCACCUCUAUUACCGUUGUUCGCGAGCAGUGUCGUUAUCAGUCGCAGUUUUCCAUUCUCAAACCAUGAAAUCUGAAUCUUCAUACUCAUGGCCACUCCGAGCAUCAUCUCUCACGGUCUCCCUACUCUCCACGGCGCACAGCGAUGACUCAGAUAUCGUCUUCACGGCCUAUGUUCCCUAAUUUCAUCUUCACAUCCGGUUAGGUCUGAAUCCUCGGCUGCCAUUAUUCCCUCAUCACCAUCUCAGGCCACGCUACAUUCAUAUUUCAAAGAAACAUUCAAAGAAUCAAGGAUGUGGAGGGUGUGAGCAUUUCCUUUAUGCAUGUGUGUGCUCCUGCCAUUGCAGGUAACCAGGUCAGCACUACUCCUAGCAAAAUUAAGCUUGGACUGAGGUUGUAUAUUGUUGCUCAGUAUUACUUAGAGAAUGAAGAUGAGGCAGAAAAUUAGCAAUAAAGGGGUGGUUCCUUUAGUUUUGACAUUAAAGCCAUCUUAUGGUGAAAGGGAAAGGAACACUAUAAAUCAUUGUAGGUAUGAAUAAUUUUCUGAAGUGAAAAGGAAAACGGAUAAAAAAGAAAUGCUCAGUUGCUUCAAACAUUUGAAGAUUGUGGUGAUGAAGAUGACAUCAACUUUGAUAAACAGGAUGCUUGGGUAUUGGAGGAAGUGCAGAAUGGUUGGUGAAAAUCAUGUAGACAAACAAGAGGAUUAAAAUGCUGACAUGACAUGCAGUAGCAAUGAGACAGAACAGUUCAUUCUCAGACUGAUUUGCUAACCGCCAAAGACCAAGGUUGCAGAAAUGAAAAGCAAGGGGCUCGAUCCAUAUGCUUAUGGAUGGAACAACACUCACUACGGAUGAUAAGUUCAUUUACAACAACCUAUUCCCUUCUCUGUGACCAAUUUUGCUGAUAUGAAAAAUAACCAUUGCAGCUGAAACUGGCACAAAUGCAUUCUUGAUUGAUACAGAUAGCUGAGGAAUUCAGUGUAUCAGUUUACAUGACAAAUCCAGAAAUUAAUUUAAAAAACAUAAUGACCCAUUAUAUUAAGGAGUGAAGUUUGAUGUGAAGCCAUGCAUGAGAAUGAAGAUUACCCAUGGAUGAAUUACAAGUGUUGGUUCCUAUACUCGGUUACGAAUGGAAGCAUGAAAGAGAAAUUCCGAGCUGUUUUAUCAGGCAGAGUAAGACAAAGCUCAAUACUCAAUGGACGUUGAUCGACCCAGUGGUCAAUGCUCAUGUUGUUCACUACAACAUGAGCGAUUCAGAUCCAAAACUCACAGAGGGUUGGUAUGCGCUCUGUGGUUUCUACAACAUCCAAAAUGAUUGCAUUUUCUCUCUUCGAUAUGUUGGUGAGUGUCUUUUUCAUUUCAAAGUUUAUGAAUAUGACAAGGAGGAAUAUGACAAGGAGGAGGUACUAUAUCGUGUAUUGCAUCCUGAUGUGAACAUUCCUCGGUUGGAUGUUCAAUAUAAUUGUGUUUGGACUCACACAAUUUCUGUCUCAAGCUACUUGAUAUAAGCUGCAUGUUCCUAACAGGGUUUCUCAAUACCUUAUACAAUGAAAGGGAAAUAUAGUUCAAGCAGCCGGAAUACAGAUUCCAGGUUUACAGAGUUCUUAAAUGAUAUUACAUGCUUCGGAAUACCAAAUCAUAAAAUAACAUUGAAGGAAGGAGCUCCGAUAAUGCUUUUAAGAAAUAUAUAUCAAGCAGUCGGUUUUUGCAAUGGAACACGACUAAUAGUGGCUGAUCUUGGAACAAAUGUAAUAAAAGCCACUGUAAUAACUUGAACCAACAUUGGAGAUGACAUUUUCAUUCCAAGAAUGGACAUGGUUCCCUCUGACUCAGGAUACCCGUUUAAGUUUGAAAGACGUCAGUUUCCGAUCAGUUUGUGCUCUGCAAUGACUAUAAAUAAAAGUCAAGGUCAGUCACUAUCCCACGUUGGCCUAUAUCUUUCUCGCCAUGUAUUCACACAUGGUCAGUUGUACGUUGCUCUCCAUGCUAAGAUCAAGAAAAGGACUCAAAUUAUUAGUGCUGGAUGAGGAAGAAAAAGUGACAAACACUACAAAGAAUGUAGUUUACCAAAGAAGUAUUUGAAAAUAUAUGUAAUGUGUAUUUAAUUUUUUAAAAGUAUGUAGUCAAUAUUUUUAUUUAUUUCAGCAGCAUAAUAAAUUACAGGUCGGUGCUACUCAAUUUUAUUUCA